rnacentral:rRNA from 1 species
UGGGGAAUAUUGGACAAUGGGCGCAAGCCUGAUCCAGCAAUGCCGCGUGUGUGAAGAAGGCCUUCGGGUUGUAAAGCACUUUCAGUGGGGAGGAAGGAGUAAAUGCUAAUACCAUUUGCUAUUGACGUUACCCACAGAAGAAGCACCGGCUAACUCUGUGCCAGCAGCCGCGGUAAUACAGAGGGUGCAAGCGUUAAUCGGAAUUACUGGGCGUAAAGGGUGUGUAGGUGGUUAUAUAAGUUAGAUGUGAAAUCCCCGGGCUCAACCUGGGAACUGCGUUUAAGACUGUAUAACUAGAGUACUGUAGAGGAUAGUGGAAUUUCCAGUGUAGCGGUGAAAUGCGUAGAUAUUGGAAGGAACACCAGUGGCGAAGGCGACUAUCUGGACAGAUACUGACACUGAGACACGAAAGCGUGGGGAGCAAACAG